AGUGAACGCUGGCGGUAGGCCUAACACAUGCAAGUCGAACGGCAGCACAGUAAGAGCUUGCUCUUACGGGUGGCGAGUGGCGGACGGGUGAGGAAUACAUCGGAAUCUACUUUUUCGUGGGGGAUAACGUAGGGAAACUUACGCUAAUACCGCAUACGACCUACGGGUGAAAGCAGGGGAUCUUCGGACCUUGCGCGAUUGAAUGAGCCGAUGUCGGAUUAGCUAGUUGGCGGGGUAAAGGCCCACCAAGGCGACGAUCCGUAGCUGGUCUGAGAGGAUGAUCAGCCACACUGGAACUGAGACACGGUCCAGACUCCUACGGGAGGCAGCAGUGGGGAAUAUUGGACACUGGGCGCAAGCCUGAUCCAGCCAUACCGCGUGGGUGAAGAAGGCCUUCGGGUUGUAAAGCCCUUUUGUUGGGAAAGAAAAGCAGCAGGUUAAUACCCCGCUGUUCUGACGGUACCCAAAGAAUAAGCACCGGCAAACUUCGU
rnacentral:rRNA from 1 species